GACCAAGCUCCCUUCGCUUCCUCACUCCAAGAGCAAAUGCGCUUCCUGUUCAAUAUGUGCCAGUUCGCCAAACGUGUCAGAGUUGGCGAGUGAACGCGCGGACAAUCUUUUCCUCAAUUUUCCCGGAUAUUUAUCCCUUCUGGGGCUAGAGUAUGGGAUUUUCUUCCUAACGAUAUUGUUUCUGAUGUUGCUCUUAAUAAAUUCAACAAAUUCCAA